UGCGCCGCCAGCAGGUAAUGGCGGGUGCGUGCGCAGUUCACCCUGCGCUGGCCUGACAUUGCACCCGCGACCCUUGCUCCGUCAGUGUGCGAGACUUUAGUGCAAAAAUGUGCACGUCCUUCGAUAUCAGCGGUGAGUGGCGGUUCGGGUUUGUUCGUGAGGAAGCGGAGAGGGGCGGCUCAGGUUUGUUUGUGAGGAAGAGGAGCGGGACGGCCCAGCAGACAGCAGACAACCCACAGUGCUUGAGAGUGGACUUGUGAAUUGAUUUCCACGAAGUUUCCAUGCGGUACGGUACAGUGUUUCGAUAUCCCCCUCUCUCCCUCUCUCUCUCUCUCUCUCUCUCUCUCUCUCUCUCUCUCUCUCUCUCUCUCUCUCUCUCUCUCUCUCUCUCUCUCUCUCUACCCCUGUGAUCGACAUUCCGCCAUACUUUUGUCUCCUUCAGUAUUUCCUCCACCGUCCUGCCUCCGACCCCUCCCCUCCCACCUCAGUCCUUCCCUCACUCCCCUCCCCAACUCCCUGGAGACGCCCGCCCUAGUUUGACCUCUGCCGCCCUGGCGUCGGGGAAGGUCAGGCCCCGAGGGAACACCUAACAGUCGCACAAGGGACGGUUGAAUGCUCGCCGG